UAAAAAUUCUCUUUCUCAAGGAAU
rnacentral:tRNA from 1 species